AACGAACGCUGGCGGCAGGCCUAACACAUGCAAGUCGAGCGCGCCCUUCGGGGUGAGCGGCGGACGGGUGAGUAACGCGUGGGAACGUACCCUUUGCUACGGAAUAGUCUCGGGAAACUGGGGGUAAUACCGUAUGAGCCCUUCGGGGGAAAGAUUUAUCGGCAAAGGAUCGGCCCGCGUUGGAUUAGGUAGUUGGUGGGGUAAUGGCCCACCAAGCCGACGAUCCAUAGCUGGUUUGAGAGGAUGAUCAGCCACACUGGGACUGAGACACGGCCCAGACUCCUACGGGAGGCAGCAGUGGGGAAUCUUAGACAAUGGGCGCAAGCCUGAUCUAGCCAUGCCGCGUGAGCGAUGAAGGCCUUAGGGUUGUAAAGCUCUUUCGUGGGGGAAGAUAAUGACUGUACCCCAAGAAGAAGCCCCGGCUAACUCCGUG
rnacentral:rRNA from 1 species